rnacentral:rRNA from 1 species
GGGGAAUUUUGCGCAAUGGGGGCAACCCUGACGCAGCAACGCCGCGUGCGGGACGACGGCCUUCGGGUUGUAAACCGCUUUCAGCAGGGAAGAACCUAAGACGGUACCUGCAGAAGAAGCCCCGGCUAACUACGUGCCAGCAGCCGCGGUAAUACGUAGGGGGCGGGCGUUAUCCGGAAUGAUUGGGCGUAAAGCGCGCGCAGGCGGCCGCUCAAGCGGGACCUCUAACCCCGGGGCUCAACCCCGGGCCGGGUCCCGAACUGGGCGGCUCGAGUGCGGUAGGGGAGAGCGGAAUUCCAAGUGUAGCGGUGAAAUGCGCAGAUAUUUGGAAGAACACCGAUGGCGAAGGCAGCUCUCUGGGCCGUCACUGACGCUGAGGCGCGAAAGCCGGGGGAGCGAAC